rnacentral:lncRNA from 1 species
CUUAGGUGGCAUCAUGAGAAGAGAGAAAAAGCUAACUUUAUAUAUAUAGAUACCUACGUAAUCAAUCUAGAGAAGAAACUAACUUCUUUGCAUUAAAAACAUUUAUGGCUAAUAUUAAAAAAAAAAAACUCAUCAGUGCUAUCCUGAAAUACACUAAUUCGUUCAUUUAAAAAAAUAUAUAUAAAAACAGUAUUAGUACACCCAAACAAUUAUAAAACGUGUGAAUCAAAAAGCGCAUAUUAGAGGUAGAUUAGAUAUCAUGCAUUGUUUUUUGCUUCCAUAUACACAACCUGUGAUUACAAUAAAUACCAUUCAUUAAUAUACAUAGCCAAAAAAAAAUACAAAGCGAAAAAA